UUCGAUCGUGGCUCAGGAUGAACGCUGGCUCCCUGCCUAAUAGCUGUCCGUCAUUAGCUGGAAAUCUAACUUGCUGUAUUGAAGGAGUGGCCAACGGUUGAAUAUUACAUUGGCUUCCUAACCUUAACUACUGGUAUCCUCUCUGGAAAUCGGUACUACUACCGUAGAAGUAAUCGGAAGGCCUCUUCUGAUUAUUAAAUGUUAGAAAUUGCUGUCUGUCAUGGGCUUAUGGCGCAUUAUUUACUUGGUGAGGUAACGGCCCACCAACACAAUGAUGCGUACCCGGCCUGAGAGGUGGACUCGUCGCAUUGCUACUGACACACUCUCCAGACUCCUACUGAAGGCAACCAUACGCAAUUUUCCGCCUUGGUGGAAACCCUGACCUAUCUCCCCCGCGUGAGUGAUGACAGCCUUCGAGUUGUAAAGGUCUGUUGUAUUGGAACAACGUUAGAUACAUAAUAUCUAACUGACGGUACCUUAUCUCAAUUCCUCUGAUAACUACGUGUCAGCACCCACUCUACUACCUAAGUGGUGAGCGUUAUCCGUAAUUAUUGGACGUACAGGGUGCAUACGCGGCCUGUUAAUUAUGUGGUUAAGUUGUUGGUAUCAACCCAUUCCAUCCUCUUAUACUGGCACGCUAUAGUAUUGCAGAGGCAAGUGCAAUUCCAUGUGUAGCGGUAUAAAUGCGUAGAUAUAUGGAGGCACAACAGUGGCGUAAGGCGGCUUGCUAGCCAAAGACAGACGCUCAUGCACGAAAGCGUGGGGAGCAAAUACGAUUAGAUUCCGUAGUAGUUCACGCCGUAAACGAUGAAUACUAACUAUUGGGGAAAAUCAGUGUUGCAGCUAACGCAAUAAGUAUUCCGCCGGCGGAGUAUGCACGCAAGUGUGAAACAUAAAGGAAGUGACGGGGGCCCGCACACGCGGUGGCGUAUGUUGUUUAAUUAGAAGCAACGCGAAGAACCUUACCAGGCCUUGACAUCCCGUGCAAAGCUGUAGAGAUACAGUAGAGGUUAUCAAGGAGACAGGUGGUGCAUGGUCGUGGUCAGCUCGUGUCGGGAGGUGAGGGGCUAAGUCCCGCAUCGAGCGCAACCCUUGCCUUCAGUUACCAGCAUUCAGUAGGGGACUCCUGAGGGACUGCCGGUGAUAAACCGGAGGAAGGUGGGGAUGACGUCAAAUCAUCAUGCCCCUUAUGGCCUGGGAUACACACGUACUACAAUGGCUGUUACAACGUGCACCGACCUAGUGAUAGGAAGCCAAUCAGUAAAAGACAGUCUCAGUUAGGAGUGAAGUAUUCAACUGGACGUCACGAAGCUCGAAUCGCUGGUAAUCGCGGAUCAGAAUGCCGCCGGCGAAUACGUUCUCGGCCCGAGCACACACCGCCCGUCAA
rnacentral:rRNA from 1 species